rnacentral:rRNA from 1 species
UGGGGAAUAUUGCACAAUGGAGGGAACUCUGAUGCAGCGACGCCGCGUGAGUGAUGAAGGAAUUCGUUUCGUAAAACUCUGUUCUAUGGGAAGAAAAGGACUGUACCAUAGGAGAAAGCCCCGGCUAAAUACGUGCCAGCAGCCGCGGUAAUACGUAUGGAGCGAGCGUUGUCCGGAAUUAUUGGGCGUAAAGGGUGCGCAGGCGGCUUUACAAGUUGGAUGUGAAAUAUUGUGGCUCAACCACAAACGUGCAUCCAAAACUGCAAAGCUUGAGUUAAGGAGGGGUAAGUGGAAUUCCUGGUGUAUCGGUGGAAUGCGUAGAUAUCAGGAGGAAUACCGGUGGCGAAGGCGACUUACUGGACUUAAACUGACGCUCAGGCACGAAAGCGUGGGGAGCAAACAGG